CACGUAGGCACCAAGCGUUGUCCGGAUUUAUUGGGCGUAAAGAGCUCGUAGGCGGUCUGUCGCGUCUGCUGUGAAAACUCAGGGCUUAACCCUGAGCUUGCAGUGGGUACGGGCAGACUAGAGUGCGGUAGGGGAGACUGGAAUUCCGUGGUGUAGCGGUGAAAUGCGCAGAUAUCAGGAGGGAACACCGGUGGGCGAAGGCGGGUCUCUGGGC
rnacentral:rRNA from 1 species